UACGUAGGGUGCAAGCGUUGUCCGGAAUUAUUGGGCGUAAAGAGCUCGUAGGCGGUCUGUCGCGUCUGCUGUGAAAACUCGGGGCUUAACCCCGGGCCUGCAGUGGGUACGGGCAGACUAGAGUGCGGUAGGGGAGACUGGAAUUCCCGGUGUAGCGGUGAAAUGCGCAGAUAUCGGGAGGAACACCGGUGGCGAAGGCGGUUCUCUGGGCCUUACCUGACGCUGAGGAGCGAAAGCGUGGGGAGCGAACAGG
rnacentral:rRNA from 1 species